GUGGGGAAUAUUGGACAAUGGGCGAAAGCCUGAUCCAGCCAUGCCGCGUGUGUGAAGAAGGUCUUCGGAUUGUAAAGCACUUUAAGUUGGGAGGAAGGGCAGUAAGUUAAUACCUUGCUGUUUUGACGUUACCGACAGAAUAAGCACCGGCUAACUUCGUGCCAGCAGCCGCGGUAAUACGAAGGGUGCAAGCGUUAAUCGGAAUUACUGGGCGUAAAGAGCGCGUAGGUGGUUUUGUAAGUUGGAGGUGAAAUCCCCGGGCUCAACCUGGGAACUGCCUCCAAAACUGCAUGACUAGAGUACGGUAGAGGGUAGUGGAAUUUCCUGUGUAGCGGUGAAAUGCGUAGAUAUAGGAAGGAACACCAGUGGCGAAGGCGACUACCUGGACUGAUACUGACACUGAGGUGCGAAAGCGUGGGGAGCAAACAGGAUUAGAAACCCGGGUAGUCC
rnacentral:rRNA from 1 species